CGGGCCGUGGCCUAGUGGCUUAAGGCGCCUGCUUUGGGAGCAGGAGAUCGGCGGUUCGAAUCCGCCCGGCCCGA
rnacentral:tRNA from 1 species